rnacentral:rRNA from 1 species
GAUGAACGCUGGCGGCGUGCCUAAUACAUGCAAGUCGAGCGAACGGACGAGAAGUUUGCUUUUCUGAUGUUAGCGGCGGACGGGUGAGUAACACGUGGAUAACCUACCUAUAAGACUGGGAUAACUUCGGGAAACCGGAGCUAAUACCGGAUAAUAUUUUGAACCGCAUUGUUCAAAAGUGAAAGACGGUCUUGCUGUCACUUAUAGAUGGAUCCGCGCUGCAUUAGCUAGUUGGUAAGGUAACGGCUUACCAAGGCAACGAUGCAUAGCCAACCUGAGAGGGUGAUCGGCCACACUGGAACUGGGACACGGUCAAGACUCCUACGGGAGGCACAGUAAGGGAAUCUUGGGCAAUGGGCGAAAGCCUGACGGAGCACCGCGGCGUGGGUGAUAAAGGUCUUCGGAUCGAAAGACUCUGUGAUUGGGGAAGAACAUAUGUGUAAGUAACUGUGCACAUCGUGACGGUACCUAAUCAGAAAGCCACGGCUAACUACGUG